CUUGGUCAUUUAGAGGAAGUAAAAGUCGUAACAAGGUUUCCGUAGGUGAACCUGCGGAAGGAUCAUUAUCGUACAAAAUGUGUGAGGCAUGCAAGGGCUGUCGCUGACUUUUUAAUCACAAAAAGUCGUGCACGCCGGAGCGUGUCCUCUCGCAUAAAAUCCAUCUCACCCUUUUGUGCACCACCGCGUGGGCACCCUUUGGGAUCGAACCGAUCCAGGAGGGCGCUUGCGUUUUCACACAAACCCCCUUAUAAAAGUGUAGAAUGACCCCAUUUUUGCGAUAACACGCAAUCAAUACAACUUUCAACAACGGAUCUCUUGGCUCUCGCAUCGAUGAAGAACGCAGCGAAAUGCGAUACGUAAUGUGAAUUGCAGAAUUCAGUGAAUCAUCGAAUCUUUGAACGCACCUUGCGCCCCUUGGUAUUCCGAGGGGCACACCCGUUUGAGUGUCGUGAAAAUCUCAACCUCCUCGGUUUCUUCUGGACGCCGAAGGAGGCUAGGACUUUGGAGGCCUUUGCUGGCGUCUCUCGCCAGCUCCUCUCAAAUGAAUUAGCGGGGUCCUCUUUGCCGAUCCUCGACGUGUGAUAAGAUGUUUCCAUGUCUUGGUUUCUGGCUCUGUCGCCUUUGGGACCCGCUUCUAACCGUCUCAAGUCGAGACAACGUUUGAGCGUGUCUCCCUUCUCGGGAAACACCCUCGAGCCCACGAACCCUUGACCUCAAAUCGGGUGAGACUACCCGCUGAACUUAAGCAUAUCAAUAAGCGGAGGA
rnacentral:rRNA from 1 species